GACCUCAGAAGAUCAGCUUUUACCGUCCAAGGUUCACUUUGCCUAAAAGCUGAUUGUUCCUGUGGAAACAGUAGCAUCGGAUGACCCUACAAACAAAGCAUUAUGACAUCAUCAGAGCCAACAACCUGGCAUGACAGAUACUAAUAAGGAAAAAAGAGGUUACAAGAAUUCUGACACUCAUCACAGUGGAUCCAAUAUCUGGUCCCUUGGGUUUCAUAUAUGUUAGAAGUAUCUUCUCAGGAGGGAAAAGUCAAUGCCAGUCAUAUCCUUUCUAGGUAUUAGAAAUGUCCAUCAGCUUACGAGGAGAUUCUCCCUCAUCUCACAAACUACCUGCAUCUCCACUUCCCUGGAAGAAAAAAAAAAUCUGGACAUACCCAAGCUGUGUAUGUGCCUGAGAUCUUCCCUUCCAAGGGAUUUAUUAAACUGGGAAGUCAGAAGCAGUCCUGUGAACAUUUGUUUGUUGAAGCAUGAAAAGGCAGAAUUGAUGAGUCCUUGCCCUGAAAACCAAGAUGCUGUGCGAAAAACCCUGGAUUGGGAACCAGAAGAGUUGAGUGCUCAUCCUGAUCCUUCCCAGGAGUGAUACUAAACUUGUUUAACAACAGGAGAAGGAAGAAGCUUCUUAAACUAAAAUGGGAGGAGAUAAGAGAUGCCAGAGAAACAUAAACUACAGAUGUCCACUACUACAAGGAAUAUAUUCAGUAUAUUCAGCAGACAAUUCUACACCACAAGUUUCCGGCCCUUAAGCUGAGAGAAGGGUGCCACCACAGGUAACCAUCAGAGAACACACUGCUAUUUUCAAAUAAAC
rnacentral:lncRNA from 1 species